CCGGGCACCCUGAGGCAGCGCUCCGUGGCCUGGGUUCCCCCACCACCCACCAGGCGACACCGCCUAGAACAACCCUCCACCCUGGAAGGCGCCUGAUAAUUGUCCCAUUCUCCAGGCAGUGAACUGACAUGUGUUGAGCCCAAGUCUGCGCCACCCUGCUUCAUGGGCUCUGCUGACAACGACCAGAAGUGGAACUCAUUUGAUUCCUACAAUGAGGCUCUGAGGGUAGAUGGCAUAAUGGAGAAACAGAGGCCCAGAGAUGCUUCAUGACUUGUCUGAAAUCACCCAGUCAGUGGGAACUGGGAUUUUGAACUCUGCUCCUGCUCCUCAGCUGUGUACUCUGCAAAGAACUCCGAUUAACCGGGCAUUUACCAUAGACCCAGCUCCAGUGGAGUGCUAGACCUGCAGGAGUUCACUGGUCCCUUGAGGUAGACCUGAGAGGGAGCGGACACUUUAACUCCAUUUUCUAGACGGAGAGACAGGCUCAGAUAUAUGAAAGGUACAGACACAAAAGGUUCAGGGAUACAUGAAAGGGUCUGUGCUGGUACAGAGCUGGGAACAAUGGAGCAGGUGUGGGGGAGGAAUAAAUGAAGAGUUUGGGACUAACAUAUACACACUUCUAUAUAUAAAAUAGACAGGAGGAGGGUACAGCUCAGUGGAAGAGUGUGUGCUUAGCAUGCACGAGGUCCUGGGUUCAAUCUCCAUGCCUCCAUUGAAAAUAAA